rnacentral:rRNA from 1 species
GAGGAACGCGUAGGAAUCUGCCUAGUAGUGGGGGAUAACUCGGGGAAACUCGAGCUAAUACCGCAUACUCUCUGAGGAGAAAAGCGGGGGACUUUCGGGCCUCGCGCUAUUAGAGGAGCCUGCGUUAGAUUAGUUUGUUGGUGAGGUAAUGGCUCACCAAGACUUCGAUCUAUAGCUGGUCUGAGAGGACGAUCAGCCACACUGGAACUGAGACACGGUCCAGACUUCUACGGAAGGCAGCAGUUAGGAAUAUUGCGCAAUGGGCGAAAGCCUGACGCAGCGAUGCCGCGUGUGUGAAGAAGGCUUUAGGGUUGUAAAGCACUUUCAGUCGUGAAGAAAUUUAUUUUGUUAAUACCGAAAUAAU